ACCCUAUCUAUCACCACACCAUUCUCCCACUCCCACUCCCACUCCAGUAGGCAAGCCGCCACGUUUCCCCACCAGAAAUGAAAUGAGAGAUCCACAUCACGACCGCCGCUUCUCCGGCGACGCGCGCCGGAGGCAUCUUCCUCGACGUCGACACCAUCUCCGGUGCAGGCGCGCCGGAGGCAUCUUCCAUCGACGUCCACGGCCAAGAGGCGCCUCGCUUCCGGACGUCACCAAAACUCCCGCCGACGGCCGGCGCUGGCUCCGGCGACAUCACACCAUGCCGUGUACGUACGGUGCGCCGACGCCUUUGUCUCGAUGGCCACCGUGCGUCGCUUCCCUUCCCGAGGCCGUCGACACCAACCAAGCCCCGGGCCUCACGCCACACGGAUCCGGUCACCGGCGGUCGCGCGGGUAUCCUGACCCGGAUCCGGUGACCCUUGGUGUGAAUACCGCCUCUUGUGCGAAACCAAGCACCUUCACCGGACGGGCCGCCCGUUAGCGGGCCGUAAUGCGCCCUGGGCCGAAUUCUUCUUCUCUCGUCUACAAAGCCCUAGCCGCGGCCGACGCCACUCCGCUCCGCUCCGCUCCACAGGCCGAGCGCUCGGCGGGGGCGGCGGAACCUCGCCGGCGACGACCUCCGCCCAUCGUUCACCUCUAUCUCAGGGGGUCGUCGGCGGCGUCGGCGGCGGAAGGAGGCAACCCUUUCCGCGUCGUCGGUUGGUUCCCUGCGGCGGAGGGGGCCGCCUCGUUGGUUGGAUCCCAGCGGUGGAGUGAGGCAAGCCAGUCCUCGUCGUUGGUUCGAUCCCGGCGGCGGAGGGAGGCAACCCCGUCCGCCUCGUUGGGUGGUUCCCGGCUGUGGUGGGAGUUAACCCUGUCUGCCUUGUCGGUUGCUUCCUUGUGAGACGUGCCUGCAGCUGCUUCCGGUAGGAGGUGAAGGGAGGCAGCAAAGUUACCUGGAGCAGGGGAGGCCAAAUCCUCCAAGCGAGCACAUUACUUGAGGAACCUCGCCGGUGACGACUGCGCCCAUUGGCCAUCGCAUCUGAGGGGUCGGCGGCGGCAGAGGGAGGCAAACCAGUCCGCAUCCUUGGUUGGUUCCCCGCAGUGGAAGGAGGCAACCCCGGCUGCCUUGUAGGUUUCUUCCUUGUGGCGUGGUGCCUGCAGCUUGUUCCUGUAGGAGGUGAAGAGAGACAUCAGAGUUACCUGGUGCAGGGUGCGAAAGGGGGAGGCUGAAUCCUCUUAAGCAAUCACAAUCAUGUCUACAAGUACAAAACAGGCUGAUCGGGAGCUGAAAAAGUUCCACGAUGCACAAUGUGAAGCAGAUAGAGCAGCUGUCGCCAAUUCUCUUAAGGCAAUUUUUGCUGAGACAGUUCUCCAUACAUUUCUGUUUCCUAUUGAGCCAACAGCUGCGGACUUUCAAAGUUUGUACCAGUUGAGGGAUGUGAGAUAUGUCAACAAUUCUUCUAUGCUUCUUUCCGUUACAAAAGAGGAUGGCAAGUCUGAGACCAAGGUUCCAGUCACGCCAAAACACCACAAAGAGCUUGAGAAACAGUCGUUCCAUUCGAUAUCGAUCCAAUGUGGUGAUGGAGCAGUUAUGGAGAUAUUAAUACGUGAAAGCGAUAAUUAUGUUGUCGCGUUUCGCGUGUAUUUCUCCAUUCAAGCUAAGGAUAUAACCCCAUGGAGAACUUUCCGGGAGCCGGUGCCUAUUCGACUGGGAAAAUCAGACCCAACAAAAUACUCCUCUAGCCAUGUGAAACUUGGAAGGGUGCAAUUUGGUUAAGGAAUUCUCCUGAGAAUCUUCAAUUUUCUUAAAGAUUUGCAGCUCCAUCCUGACCAAGAAAUCACAGAUGAAGGUCAGAGAUUAGUUUGCACUCUCUUCGUUCUGUUUGGUGAAGCACAGCGAUUUGCCAAGGCUAGGAAGUGGGUCAUUGAUGCUGUUGCUAGUGACAUUGCUCUGACCCUUAGUCCUCCAUUAGCUAAACUUUUCAGAGAUUGGAAGGGGAUGUCAAAAACUGGAAUGAGGCUAUACGUUGCUUUGUAUGAGGAAAGGAAUCUAUUCAUCAAAUACAAAGAAAGAUAUGGGAGUCAAGUUGACUACUUUAAUCCUUAUGAAGAUGUUGUCAAGGAGGCAAAGGAAGCAUGUAUAGAUAAGGAGCGGGAGCACCACAGAGCGAAUUUGUGCUUCCGGACAAGGCCAACUGCGGAGGUUGAUCUAUCAUUCUUGCUAGGUGGGGAGCUUUUGUUGGUUAAGUAUGACGAAGAAUUCUCCUGCAAGGCAUUAAUACGGGAAGGCAGUGAGUAUGAUGCUCCAUGGCCGGAUGCAAAAAAGGUGAUAUGGGAGUGAGGGACUGCAAUCCGAUGCCCUGGGAGUGAAUGAUACGCAAUACAUAAUUUUGUGCAUGCUGUAACUGGCUGCUCUGAACAUCUCAGUUUGUUAACUGAAUAUAUAAUAAGGGACGGAAUCGCAAUCUGAAUCCCUGUAAAGAUGUCUUUUUGUGUAGGCUGUGAAUUUGAUGCACGGUGUAAUUGGUUGCUGUCAACCUCUGAGUUUGUCAACUGAUUAUGUAUUGCGUCCUUUGUCCACUGAUGCCAGUAUGGAUGCGGUUGACAGUAAUAUUUCUUUAAAAAAUCUUUGUCUACUAAUGCGGUUAAAUCUAGUUUGUUAAUUGAUUAUGCAUUGCGUCUUUUGUCCACUAAUGCCAGUAUGAUGCGGUUGACAGUAAUAUUUUAAAAAUUCUUUGUCCACAACAGUAUGGAUGCGGUUGACAAAAAGUAAAAGAGUUUUUUAUUUUCGUUGUUUUUCCUCAGUUUUGUUGCACACUGGUUUUGGGGCUUUUGUCAUUCGACCUACAAAAGUGUCCUGCAACACACUGGCCAAUUAAGUGUAUCUGUAAUGCUUGAAGAAAUUUUAAACAUUUGCACCAUUAGUGGACAAACUACAAGCCCAGGGAUUCAGAUUUGCUUGACAACACAUUUUAAAGAAACGGUCAAAAUACGCACUAAUUCAAGUCUUUCUGUCCCACUACUCAGAUUCAGAUUUGCUUAACUGCAUUGCUUGAUCACCACAUUCUAAAAAGCGGUCAAGCAUGAUCACAGAAACAGACGCCAAUUUGCUUGACAACACACAUCAUAAAUCAUAACUGGUACAAUCUCCAACUCAAUGUCUCCAGUAACUGGUAUUCACAAAUACCAUCAUAACUGGUACUAAAUUCACCAGAAUCAAAGGACGGCAUCAUAACUGGUACUAAAUUCACCAGAAUCAAAGGACAGCAUCAUAACUGGUUGGUGUUGUUGUCUCCUAGCCAUAACAUCUUCGUGCCGAGAUGUCCCACUUCUCAGAAAUGAGACUGGACCAUGCAACAGUAAUCUCCAACUCAAUGUCUCCAGUAAGUUUACAUGUUUGCUGGCUUAUGUUGCAAAACUUGGGCUUCAAGGACUCAUUUUUUUGUGCAAUUAUAUCACCAGAAUCUGAGUAGGCUUCCAAUACAAAAUUCAGGCUUCCACAAAAGUCUACAGAUACAACAUUCCUUGAUAGAACAAGGUAACGCUGAGAAGUCAUCGGCAUGGCUCU